rnacentral:rRNA from 1 species
AACGAACGCUGGCGGCGUGCCUAACACAUGCAAGUCGAGCGAGAAAGCCCGCAAGGGUGAGUAAAGCGGCGCACGGGUGCGUAACACGUGGGUAAUCUGCCCUGAAGUCCGGAAUAACUCGCCGAAAGGCGUGCUAAUGCCGGAUAAGAACACGGGAACCUCGGUUCCUGCGGGAAAAGGUGGCCUCUGUACACCAGCUAUCACUUCAGGAUGACACCCGGGCCCAUCAGCUAGUUGGCGGGGUAAUGGCCCACCAAGGCUACGACGGGUAGCUGGUCUAAGAGGACGAUCAGCCACACUGGAACUGAGACACGGUCCAGGCUCCUACGGGAGGCAGCAGUGGGGAAUCUUGCGCAAUGGGCGAAAGCCUGACGCAGCAACGCCGCGUGUGUGAUGAAGGUCUUCGGAUCGUAAAGCACUGUCGGGAGGGACGAAUAGGGCGCCGGCUAACAUCCGGCGCUGAUGACGGUACCUCCAAAGGAAGCACCGGCUAACUCUGUGCCAGCAGCCGCAGUAACAC